GACGAACGCUGGCGGCGUGCUUAACACAUGCAAGUCGAACGGAAAGGCCCUGCUUGCAGGGUACUCGAGUGGCGAACGGGUGAGUAACACGUGGGUGAUCUGCCCUGCACUUCGGGAUAAGCUUGGGAAACUGGGUCUAAUACCGGAUAGGACCGCACUUUAGUGUGUGUGGUGGAAAGUUUUUUCGGUGUAGGAUGAGCUCGCGGCCUAUCAGCUUGUUGGUGGGGUAAUGGCCUACCAAGGCGGCGACGGGUAGCCGGCCUGAGAGGGUGUACGGCCACAUUGGGACUGAGAUACGGCCCAGACUCCUACGGGUGGCAGCAGUGGGGAAUAUUGCACAAUGGGCGCAAGCCUGAUGCAGCGACGCCGCGUGGGGGAUGAAGGCCUUCGGGUUGUAAACUCCUUUCGCUAGGGACGAAGCUUUGUUGUGACGGUACCUAGAUAAGAAGCACCGGCUAACUACGUG
rnacentral:rRNA from 1 species